rnacentral:lncRNA from 10 species
CAAGAGCGAAACUCCAUCUCAAAAUAAUAAUAAUGAAGCAGGCUGUUUGGUUUCUGGCUGAGUUAUGAGUUCUUUAUAUAUCCUAAAUAUGAGUCCUUUAUUAAAUAUACAUUUGUAGUAUUUCCUCCCAGUCUGUGGCUUGCCUUUUCAUUUUCUCCAUGAUAUCGUUCAGAGUUACUCAUUUUGAUAAAGUCCAACUGUGAUGACAUAUAUGUGUGUUUUUGUCCAGGGUCCCUGGCUCAUAACUCCCAUAGCCCUUACUACAGUAAACAGAAUCUCUCUCUCUGACCUUCUGCCGUCCUUUCACCUGCCCAAAGCUAGACUCUAAUCUGACUGUGGGUCAUAAGACUCUUAUUCCAGAGGGGGUCCUGCACCAUACCCUGGGAUAAGGAAUGCUGUACAGAGAAGCCCGAAGAACCUGGUCAGGUCUUGCUAGGUUUAGAUCACACCUUUUUUGUCCAAUCACAUUUCAACACGGUUGUCCACAUUUCAAUCAUGCCUAUCCAAUGACAUCUCCAUAAAAUGCCCAAGAGGACAGGGUUUGGGGAGUUUCUAGAGAACUGAAUGUGGAGGCUGACAGGAAGGUGAACAAGAAUGAGUUCCCCAACCCACCCACAGGGACAGAAGCUCCUGUGCUGGGAAUCCUUUCAGACCUCACCCCACCUAUUUAUCUCUUCACCCUUAAAAUACCCUUUGUUAGCUAGGCAUGGUGGCGGAAUGUCUGUAGUCCCAGCUACUUGGAAGGUUGAGACAAGAGGAUCGCUUGAGCCCAGAAGUUGGAGACCAGCCUGGGCAACACAGUGAGACCCUGUCUUAAAAAAAAAAAAGUAAUACACUGGUAAACUUACGUGUUUCCCUGAGUUCUGUGAGCUGCUCUAGCAAAUUAAUUGAACCCGAGGGGAACGUGGGAACUCCAAUAUAUGGCUAGUUGGUCAGAAAUUCCAGAGGCCUGGACUUGCAACUGGUGUUGGAAGUGGGGGGCAGUCUUAAGGUCUCAACCCUCAACCUGUGGGGUCUGACUCUGUCCCCACGUAGACAGUGUCGUAAUGGAAUUGGAGGGCACCCAUCUGGUGUCCACUCCAGAACUGAUUACUUGUUUGUUGGCGGGGAGAACCACCCCUGACGUGGUCACUUUAGUCUUCUGUGGUGAUGAUUGUUGCUGAUGAAAGGAAUGGGAAAAAGCACUUUGGUUUUUAUGUGUUUCCUGCUCACAGCAACUUACUCUAUUUUUUCCUCUUUUAUGGCUAGUGCUUUAUGUAACCCAAGAAAUCUGUGCUUAGGUCAGUAAGCUUUUCUUUUUUUCUUUUUUGAGACGGAGUCUCAUUCUGUCGCCCAGGCCAGAGUGCAGUGGCAUGAUCUCGGCUCAAUGCAAGCUCCACCUCCCGAGUUCACACCAUUCUCCUGCCUCAGCCUCUCCAGUAGCUGGGACUACAGGCACCUGCCACCAGGCCCGGCUAAUUUUUUGUAUUUUUAGUAGAGACAAGGUUUCACCGUGUUAGCCAGGAUGGUCUCAAUCUCCUGACCUCGUGAUCCACCAGCCUCGGCCUCCCAAAGUGCUGGGAUUACAGGCGUGAGCCACCGCGACCAGUCUAGGUCACUAAGCUUUUCUCUUGUGUUUUCUCAUAGAAACUUAAUAGUUUUAGCCUUCACAUUUAGGUCUAUUAUCUGUUUCAAGUUGACUGUUGUUUAUGGCACAGAAUCAGGUUCAGUUUUUUCUCCACAUGACUCUUCAAAUGUUCUUGCAUCAUUUUUUGAAAAUACAAUCCUUUCCCUCUUAAAUUACCUUGGCCUUUCUGUUGAGUACCAGGUGAUUAUAUACACAUGGAUCAAUUUCUGGACACUGUAUUCUGUUCCAUCUGAUUUGUUUUUUGUUUUGUUUUGUUUUUGAGAUGGGGUCUUGCUCUGUUGCCCAGGCUGGAGUGCAGUGGUGUGAUCACAGCUCCCCUGACUUCCCAGGCUAAAGUGAUCUUCCCAGCUCAGCCUCCCGCGCAGCUGGGACUACAGGCAUGUGCUACAGACACCCAGCUAAUUGUUUCGUAUUUUUUGUAGAGAUGAGUCUUGCUAUGCUGCCCAGGCUGGUUUCCAACUCCUGGGCUCUAGCGAUUCUCCUGCCUCAGCCUCCCAAAGUGCUGGAUGACUGGCUUGAGCCACCACACCUGGAUGAUUUACAUUACUUAUGCCACCACCACACUGCCUUGACUUCUGUGCUUCAGAGAAGUCUUAUAACCAGGUAGUAGAAGUCUUCUUUGUUCUUUUACAAAAUUAUUUUGGUUAUUCCAGACUCUUUGCAUUUUCAUAUAAAUUUCAGGAUCAGCAUGUCAAUUUCUACACAGAAGCCUGUGGGGGUUUUGAUUAGGCCUGUGGGGAAUGUACAGGUCAGUGUGGGGAGAAUGAGCAUCUUUACCUUAAGGCUUCCAUCCAUCAAGGUGGUAUCUUCUCCAUUUAUUUCACUUCUUUAUUUUUUACACUCUUUCAUAGUUUCCAAUGUACAUAUCUUACACUAUUAAACAUUUUUCCAUGUACAGUUGUUUCUACCAUGUAGAAAUCCAACUGAUUUUUGUAUACUGACCUUGUAUCUUGUGACUUUGAUAAACUCAUUCAUUAGGUUAAGCAACUUUUCUGUUGAUUCCUUUAUUAUUUUAAAAGCACACAAUCAUGUCACCUAAAGAAUAAAGGCAGUGUUUCUUCUUCCUUCCCAGUGCACCUAUAUUUCCUUUCUUUGUCUUGCCUCACUGCACCAGCUAGGAGCUUCAGUACAACACAGAAGACAUGCAGUGAGAACAGGCGUCCUUGCAUGUUCUGUACUUGGGGUGGGGGUCAAAGGGGACAUUUUCCCUGUUACCACUAGUGAUAAUGUUGGCUGUGGGUUUUCCUUUUUUUUUAUUGAGACAGAGUUUUGCUCUUGUUGCCCAGGCUGGAGUGCAGUGGCGUGAUCUCGGCUCACUGCAACCUCCACCUCCUGGGUUCAAGCGAUUCUCCUGCCUCAGUUUCCUGAGUAGCUGGGAUUACAGGCAUGUGCCACCACCCCUGGCUAAUUCUGUAUUUUAGUAGAGACGGGGUUUCUCCGUGUUAGUCAGGCUGGUCUCGAACUCCCGACCUCAGGUGAUCCACCUGCCCUGGCCUCCCAAAGUGUUGGGAUUACAGGCAUGAGCCACCGCGCCUGGCUGGCUGAGGGUUUUUCAUACAUGCCUUUAUCUGGCUGAGGAAGAUCCCCUCUAGUCCUAGUUUGCUGAGAUUUUUUUUUAUCACAUUGGAUCUUGUCAAAUGCUUUUUCCUGUGGUCCCUGAGAUAAUCAUACGGUUUUUCACCUUCAUUCUGUUAAUAUGAAGAAUUAUAUGAACUGAUUUUUUCAAAUAUAAACCAGCCUUGCAUUCCAGGGAUAAAUGCCACUUGACCAUAAUAUAUUAUCCUUUUACAUAUGUUAGUGGAUUUAAUUUUUGCCAAUGUUUUGAUAGGGAUUUUGUGUAAUGUUUCUUCUUAUGGAAUAUAAACAUUUAAGCUACAAAGCCGUAAGUUUCUAGAUACUGCUUUAUGUAUAUCCCACAAAUACUGACAUGCUAUGUUUUCAUUAUAAUUCAGUUUAAAAUAUUUUCUCAUUUUCUUUUUAAUUUCUUUGACCCAGGGUUUAUUUAGAAGUGUACUGUUUAAUUUCCAAAUAAUUGAGAAUUUUCUAGCUAUCUUUUGUUGUUGAUUUCCACUUAAAUUUCACUGAGAACAUAUCCAGUAUUAUUUCAAUCCCUUUGAAUUUAUCAAGACCUGUCUGAUGGGCCAGCAUAUGGUCUAUCUUGAGGAAUAUUCCAUAUUCAUUUGAAAAGAAUGUGCACCCUGCAGUUGCUGGGGGGUUUAAUGAACAUGCAUGAGGCCAGGCUGGCAGGGAGAGUUGUAAGGCCCUAUCCCUCCUUCUGCGUGUGUUCCUCCUUUGUUCUAACCACAGAAGAGGAGUGGUGAGAUCUCCCAUGUUUUUUGUUUUGUUUUGUUUUUGUUUCUGAGAUAGAGUUUCACUCUUUUUUUUUUGAGACCCAGAGUCUCGCUCUGUCGCCCAGGCUGGAGUGCAGUGGCGUGAUCUCGGCUCACUGCAAGCUCCGCCUCCUGGGUUCAUG